GGCUUCUAUUUUAUACUUACCAAGUUAACUUAAUAACUAAAUGAUUGGCAACGGCAGCUUCAAGUUAUCAAUAACCCAUAUUAUUCAUGGUGAAUUUGAUGAAGCUUGAAUCCUCACACUCGGAUUCGAUUUGAUAAACCUCAAUCUUCUCCUGCUCAAACAUCCUCUCCCCGUCCUCUCGAUUCAGUCGAUGAACACCCAUGUUUUCACCUGUGGUGCACGCCAGUCACCGGUGAGCAGUCGUAUGACCAUUAUUGAGACAUUACAUUACAUCAAUGAGAAACUGUCUCAGCACGACGGAAGAUCAUUAAGAACAUUUGUUUCGUAAUUUGAGCAGUAUCUGCCUUGCUGCGCAGCCCCCUGACACGGCCGAUUGAAUAAAAUAAAACAAGUCUCGCUAGCAGCGCAACCUGUCCUACAUGGCCGAUGCAUGGUAUGGUGGAUAUGGUCCAGGAUAUCCCAACGCAGAUGAAUUUUCAGUCAUAUUACAUACAGUACAGUGGGUGCUAUGGCCCGUCUUGACCGUCCGAAAACUCAGGAACGAACAAAGGGCCUACAGUUAAGGGCAUAUUCAUUUUAACGUACAGAUAAACAAAUCGUUGGCAAAAGGCAAACCAGUCUACGGAUGAUCUUGAGCUAUGUACGGCUUUCUGCGCCUGUGUCGAACAAGAUCUUCGAGCACGCAGGGAUUUUUCCACGCUCGAAGUCCCAUGCAGUAUAAUCUUCUUAUACAAUAGUGUAUUACUUGAAAAUCAUGAGACGAUCGCUAUCAAUGAAUGCGCUCGAGUCUAUUAAAGUGUAGAUCAUAAAACAAGAAGGGUUGGAUAUGAACAGACAACGGUUGGACAAUAAAAAGGAACAAAAAGUAUAAAAUUAAAUAAAACAAGCCGUGAACUCCAUUUCAUAGACCCAGGACUCUAAACCCUCAUCCCAUCGUUAAACGCCAGCACCCAGUAGCUCAGCGUCGUUGAGUCUUGCCCAUGCCACGUUUCCCAGAGAA
rnacentral:sRNA from 1 species